ACCUGUUGAAGGAUCAUUGUCGA
rnacentral:rRNA from 1 species